rnacentral:lncRNA from 1 species
CCACGAAGUGGCUGACUUAAAAAAUCUCACUCCGGACAAGUAAACACCAAUACCACCAACCUGAGUAGGCCUUCCAUGAAAUACUGGGGACACUAAGAAGCCACACCCCCUGAAACAUUCUAUGGUCAUUCAGCAUUUGAAGCAAAUUGGAAAGGUGAAAAACCUGAUAAGUGGGUGCCUCAUGAGCUCACCGAAAAUUUUUUUAAAAAUUGUCGUUUUGAAGUGUCAUCUUCUCUUAUUCUAUGCAACAACAAUGAACCAUUUCUUGAUUGGAUUGUGAUGUGCGAGGAAAAGUGGAUUUUAUAUGACAACUGGCGAUGACCAGCUCAGUGGUUGGACCGAGAAGAAGCUCCAAAACACUUCCCAAAGCCAAACUUGCACCAAAAAAGGUCCUGGUCACUGCUUGGUGGGCUGCUGCUGGUCUGAUCCACUGCAGCUUUCUGAAUCCCUGGGAAACCAUUACACCUGAGAAGUAUGCUCAGCAAACCAAUGAGAUGCACCAAAAACUGCAAUGCCUGCAGCUGGCUUUGGUCAACAGGAAGGGCCCAAUUCUUCUCCACCACAAUGUCCGACUGCACAUCACAACCCACGCUUCAGAAGUUGAACAAAUUGGGCUACGAAGUUUUGCCUCAUCUCCCAUGUUCACCUGACCUCUCGCUGAGAAGUAGCUUUGGAGCUUCUUCUCGGUCCAAACACUGAGCUGGUCAUCGCCGGUUGUCAUAUAAAAUCCACUUUUCCUCGCACAUCACAAUCCAAUCAAGAAAUGGUUCAUUGUUGUUGCAUAGAAUAAGAGAAGAUGACACUUCAAAACUACCACUUCUUCAAGCAUCUCAACAACUUUUUGCAGGGAAAAUGCUUCCACAACCAGCAGGAUGCAGAAAAUGCUCUCCAAAAGUUUGUCAAAUCCUGAAGCAUGGAUUUUUAGGCUACAGGAAUAAACGUAUUUCUCACUGGCAGAAAUUUAUUGAUUGUAAUGAUUCCUUUUUUGGUUAAAGACAUGUUUGAGCCUAGUUAUAACGACUUACAAUUCACGGUCCAAAACUGCAAGUACUUUUUGCACCAGCGAGAUGUGCAUAUGAGAAGCUUAUUUCACCAAGCCUCUUAUCUAGUCAUCUGUAUAAUUAUUUCAAGCACAGGAGGGACCCUACUUCUUACUGGGGAGGAUUAAGGAAGGCUUCCUGGAGGAUUGUCUCAGAGCUUGCUGCAGGUGCAUAUUGAAAAGCAAUUCAUUACAAUUUUCUAUAAGAGACUGUGGCUGAACAAUGAUACACAGGUAUGGUCAGAACUUUGUGUAACAAUUUCUGCAUCACAUGUGUAGAAAUCUUAAGGAAAGGAAUACUCUCUCUCAGCAAGUUGAGCCCUGUAGCCAGAUACUUUGAGUAGUGUUUCCUGAAUCUUUAAAACCCACUGACUUCAAAUGGCAUGACUUCCAGAGUAUAGAGGUGGGUAUAAAGAGCAACUCAGCCCCCCACACCCUUAAAAUCACAUCUUGUCAAAAACUUGAAGACUUUCAGGACUUGUGGAUUCAUUCCUCUUUCCAUCGCCACUGCAAAAGCUCAUAGGAAAUUUUUCUCUGUACAUAAAGAAGGAAAUCAUGCUCUCACAGCUGCAUCCUGAGUAAUCACUUUUGAGAUAAAACUAUUUUUCUAGCCAUAAAAGCUAUAUUUGAAUUUCACCAGCUGCUUUCUUAAUGAUUACUAGACUAUUUUGAUAAUGGCACCAGCUUCAGGAAAGGUGGUGAUGCUACCUAACCUUGCUUUGAUAAGAAAGAUUUUUGCAUCAGGGGAGAUUACACUUAUUUAAUGUAAUCCAGAUGUCUCCUUUCUCAGUGUUCCCCAAUUCUGCCAGCCUCAUUGAUCAUUCCAACUAUUAGUAUUCAAAUAAAAAUGGCUUCCAUAUGUAAAAGGAAACUCAGGAU